UAGAGUUGAUAAACCGCCUCUC
rnacentral:siRNA from 1 species